AUCAGCUGCUGAGGAUGACUCCGGCGGAGACGAGCAGAGAGUACGUGCUGCUGUCCUUCCAGGAGCACCAGAGCUGUGAGUGCAGGCCCAGACGACUCCGCCGGAGACAGCAGCAGUGAGUACCGAUCGACUGCUUGAUGUUUGUUGUGUGUGAAGGAUCUGAACGCUCUUCUCCAGCAGGAGGCGGAAGGGCAAGCGCAGGAGGAGGACGGACGGGGAUUGAGACACUGCUGGGGGUCAGAUGUGAUGAUCAUUAUGGCAAAUAGGCCCUCUUCAUUCAUCACACAAGCACUCCUGGACAUUAGUGUGGUCAGUCUGACCCGACCGGAUCAGGAUCAGCCAGGACCAUCAAGAAACAUCUGUGUUCAUAUGGACUGUGAUGAGAUCAUAUACUGUGACAGUAAAGCUGCUGAACUGAAUGAAUCC